GAUGAUUUUAUAAGCUCAAUAGGCGAGACAGGGAUAGUCGUGGCAUGGUGCAACCAACUAGAGGUCCUAGCUCACCAAGCGGUGGGCUGCUUUGUUACACACUGUGGAUGGAAUUCUACAUUGGAGGGGCUGAGCCUAGGCGUGCCAAUGGUAUGCGUGACACAGUGGAGCGACCAGCCAACAAACGCCAAGUUUGUAGAGGAAGUAUGGAAGGUGGGAGUAAGAGCUGAGAAAGAUGAAGAGGGGAUUGUAAGGAGAAAGGAACUUGAGAAAUGUAUAAGGGAGGUUAUGGUUGGAGAGAGGAGUGGAGAGAUGAAGAAUAAUGCAUCUAAAUGGAGAGAUCUUGCAAAGGUUGCUGUCAGACUCGGUGGGAGCUCAGAUACCAAUGUUGAUCAAUUUGUAGUGAAGUUGCUAGAUGAGAAGAAAACAUAAUUUGUCACAGCUUGAAUCUUGAUGGAUCAAUAAAAUCAUGUAUCACCCCACUGAGGUUUAUCUUGCGUUAUAAUCUUCUGCUCUUGGGCAGCUCCAGUAGCUGCACGACAAUUUGAAUUUGAUUUCAAGAAGAACUAAACCUCCAAAUUUAAUUGAAAUAAUUAGCAAGAAGCAAGUUUUACAGUUCCAAACCUUCGCUUUUCUUGGAUCCAGAAUUCCUCUACAGGAACAAAAGAUUUUCUUUGCCAUUAAACAAUUGAACUGCUAUCUCAUAAAACACGCAGUCGUGCCUGAAUUUUUGCCAUUAACUCUUCGUUUGAAAUAAUUUUUUUUUAAAAAAUUAAAUUUAAUUAAUUUUUUAACAAUUUUUUUAAAAUAAAAGAUUUUAUUUCUUUUUUAACUUAAAAUUUUUUUAAUAUUUUAUUUUUAUUUUAAGUAAUCCUAAUUCGAUAUUAAAAAUGUAUUAAUUACUCUUUGAUACUUUCAUAUGUAAAUACAAUAUAUUUAAUUUCAUUUAUAAAUCUAUUUUCUUUUCUAUCAAUUUUAAUCUCAAUAAGAAUGUCAAUUUUAAUUCUCAUUAUUCAAAUAUUAUAAGCUAUUGGCAUUCGUGAUGUUCUUGCUAUUUAUAUUUAUGCGUCGGAUUAAGAAAUUAAUUAUGAUAAGUCCUUUAUGUGUUUCUCUCGAAAUACUAAUUCGGCUAUUCGUAGCCAAGUUUGUUCUAUCCUUGAUGUCUAGGAACAGCCGGAUUUGAGAUUAUAUUUAGGACUACCAACUCGUAUUGGUAUCAAUAAAAAGGAAGUGUUUCAGUUUAUAAAAGACCAUAUGUGGCAAAAACUUAAUUCUUAGAAGCGUCAUAUUCUUUUUAGAGCAGACAAAGAAGUAUUACUCAAGACGGUUUUGCAAGUCUUUUCCAAUUAUGUCAUGAACCUAUUUUUUGUUGCUCAAGAUAUUGUGUAAUGAACUCCAAUAGCUUAUGGCUCAAUAUUGGUGGUCUAAGGGUAUGAAUAAUGAAAAGUGAAUCCAUUGGGUCAGCUGGCAAAGGAUGUGUCAUCCUAAACACUUGGGUGGCCUUAGAUUUAAGAAUUUUCAUGACUUUAAUAUUUCUAUAUUAGGCCAUAAUGCAUGGAGUCUUUUAACUAAACCUGACUCGUUGGUGGCUAGAUUAUUAAAUGCUCGAUAUUUUUCGGACUGCUCAUACUUGGAUUCGAUGUUGGAGAACAAUUCAAGUUAUAUUUGGAGGAGCCUUUGGGAAUAUAAGUCCUUAAUUUCUCAGGGUGCGUAUAAAAGAGUUGGUACUGGUACUACUAUCUCCAUAUGGAUGGAUGCAUGGCUGCCUUCCAUGACAUCAUCAAAAGUGGCUACUCAUAUGCCUGUAGGUUACAUUUCACUUCUAGUAUCAGAUUUAAUUUAGGAUCACAAAUGGAACUUGUCCUUAAUACAAUCCAUGUUUUGUGAUGAGGAUGUUAAUGCUAUUGCUGUGAUUCCUUUAAGUAGACGGUCUAUCUCAGAUUAUUGGGCAUGGAAAUGGGAGGCCAAAGGUAAUUUUUCUGUGAAAAGUUCUUAUCGUUUUUUGACAGCACAAGUUAAUGUUGUAGGUGCUGCUAAUUACAGUCAAAUGUGGAAGAAGUUAUGGCGUCUUCAUGUUCCAGCCAAGAUAUUGAACUUCGCUUGCGUAUGUGUAACACAGCUGUCCCUUGUUUGGAGCUGCUACAGCGACGACACAUCCCUGUGCAUAAUACUUGCUAUUUAUAUUAUAACGCACCUGAAACUAUAAUGCAUAUUUUGGUCUCAUGCCCCUUUGCUCGGGAUUGUUGGCUGCAUACUGAGGUAGGCUGGGUUCAUCCUCAUGUCAAUACUAUAUCUGAGAGGCUUUUCUUUGUAUUAGUUUCCGCAUCGUUGGAGCAGGCUGGUGUGAUUUUGAUCACCUUUUGGGCUAUUUGGACACAACGUAAUCAGUUGGUUUGGAAAUGAGUAUGGAAGUCUCCUCUGCAAGUGAUCUCCUUUGCUCGACAUUUUCUUCAAGAUUGGAUUGCAGCACAAGCAAAGCCAGCAAGUUUAAAUGGAUACGUGACUUUAAUGCUGGGUUGGAAAAAGUCUCCUGGAGGUGUUUUAAAAAUAAAUGUUGAUGCAGCCGCUUUUAAUCAUUCCCAUAUUUGAUUGGGUAUGGUAAUCUGUAAUAGCCUAGCAGAGUUUAUUUGUGCUAAGCAAAUGGUCGUUUUUUGUGAUGUUAGAGCAAAAAUUAUUGAAACUUUAAUCAUUAGAGAAGCUCUUAGCUGGAUUAAAAGUGAGGGAUGAUUCAAUGUGAUUGUGGAGUCAGAUGCUCAACUUAGCGUUCGGACUAUUACUGAUCCCAGUUACAUGGAUUACUCGACCUUUGGUUCAGUUAUUUAUGAUUGUAAGUCUCUAAUUGAUGAGGCGAAUAGUGUUAGUGUUCAUUAUAUUUCUGGAUCUACUAAUGGCAUAGUACAUGUAUUGGUUAGGGCUGCCAUUCUUUGACAGAUCAGGUGAAAUGGAUUGUUUUACCUCCUACAUGUAUUUUGCCUCCGUUGAGACUUGAUAGUGCUUAAUAAACUUCUCUACAUUUACUUCGAAAAAAAAUAAUAAUGAGAUUCUAUUGGUCUUAUUAGCAUGCACAUGACAAAUAACUAAUUGAAAUAAAAUUUUUAAGAUGAAUUAAUGCAAUUUUAAAAAAAAAGGACAUAUUGCACUCACAUAUUUAACCUGAUAGUAAGUGUAUCUGAGAGGUUUUAUAUUAUACUCCCCAAUCCCUAAUUUCUAUUUCAGAAAUUACAAAAGGAAAGACAUCUUAUUAAAAGUUAUUUAAUUUUUGUUUUUAUAAAAUAAAUCACGCUGAAAAUAGGGUUUAAACUUGAUCAUCCAUUGAUUUGAUAAAAAUCUCGAGGAAACAAUUAGCAAGAUAGUACUUUAGCACUUCUAAUCUAAUAUCUCAAUGCCAUUUUCUUUGGAUGUGGUCCUUUUUGGUUAACUAACCUACUCGUGGCACAUUGGGCUCCUCCACAAUCAACAUUUUGUAUGAAAAAGAAAAGAAACAUGAGAGUUAGUGGAAAAACGAUGAUUCAUACGAAAAUUGGGUACAAAUAGAAAUUAAUGUGAAAUUUCACAGAGGGUACCGUUGCAAAUUCUAUAAUCCCAAAAUUUCACGAGAGGUUGUCAGUCUCAGAGCCAUUCGACAGCAUCCGCUCAGAUAUCGCCUUCCAUCAUUUCUUACUGGAAGAAAGGGAAAAAUAAAUGGCCUUCUUGUUCAAUAAUUCUGCAAUUUCUUCUUAUUUUGGAUCUCAUACUCAAGUAAUUUGUUUAUUGUGAUUAUAUAUCAUCUUUUUUUUUUUUUUCUAAAUUGAUUUGAAUUUGAUUAGCUAUUUCUCUUGUGUUUUCUUCUCCGUUGAAACUCACAGAAGAAUCAGGAAUCUCUAUCUCGUCGUGCAUUCCACGUCGAACCUCAGCCUCGCGAGAAAGCUGUGAGUUUCUCCUCUCUCUAUCUCAGCUACUGCUACCUAUCUUGAUAGUUUCUUAGGGUUUUAAAACUUUUUCUUUUCCCUUUUGAGUGGAAAGAUAUUUUUAUCCUUUCGUUAUUUUCUGAGAUAUGAGAAGCUUCAACAAGGUCAGCGUGACAGGGUCUAUCCGCUGUUAUGGUCUUAUAGAUAUCGAGAUUUUGACUUUUAAGUGAAUCGCUUGCGACACUUCAAUCAUGUUUUCGUUCUUAGAUGAGGAAUGAUUGCCGUUUAUAUGCUCGUGUAUGUGUGUUAGAGACUAGUUUAAUAUACAAUCUUAUACAGUUAAUGAAGUUGUUGAAUUUCGAUUGCAUCGGAUUGAUUGUUGGUCCAGCAUCUAACUCCCCAACUUGGUCCAGUGGCAUACUUUGGUAUCAUUUGGUUGACAUUCAUGUUCAAGGACCUUUGUUUUAGUUAAGUGACCAAAUAGUAGCGAUCAAAAGCAUGGCUGUGAUGGUGGAGAAGGUAUCCUGGAGCUUUUUUAGUUCAUCUAUGACAUUCCACGCUUUGAUGAAAUGCUAUAGCAUUGCUCUGUUUUCAUUUUGAGACAUGUUUCUGUUUCUCCCUCUAUUCUCCAAAAAGUCAUCUACUUGGGAUUUUUUCCUGCAUGAAGUCAAAGCUAACUACGCAAUGCCUGUCUGAAGACUUCAAGCAAUGUGCCUCUCUGUUUAACUAAUAUCGUAAACUUUUGUCUUGAAACUUUUCACAUUUUAUGUUGUGCAAAUUAGUGGAUAACUGAACUUGAAAUUUAACUUAAGUGCUUUUUUUUUCAGAAAAAGAUUUUUUGAGCCUUGCUGUUCUAAGUUAUUUGCAUUACAGCUCUUGGCAGAAGACCCAGCUCUUAAGCGAUUCAAAUCACAUAAGAAGAGUGUAUGGAGACUCAAAAGAGUUGGAGAUGUUCUCACAAUUGUGGUUGUAGCAGGUAUGCUGGUGUCUCUGCUACUAGUUGAAGAAAUUUUUCAUUAGUAUUCUCCCAUAUCAGGAUCUCUUUUGCCCAUUAUGUUAUGCAAUUUAUAAUAUUGUGGGAGUAGCUGAACCUCAGAAAUUUAUUUGGGUUCUCAUGCACGGCAAGAAAAUAAUCCCCUUAGGAAAUUCAAUGGUUUGGAUUUGUAGAUUCUUGUGCAAUUUUGAUGCCUAAUGAAAUGCUUGUCCUUUUACUUGUCCACUUUUAUGCCUUCAUGUUAUCAUUUAGGCUCUCCUUUGCGCUUUAAUGUGUCUUUGGCCUUAAGUAACAAGUGAAAAAGACUGAGGGAUGAGUAACAAGCAAAAAGAUUGACCUGCCUGUUGAAGUAGGAAUCACAAUAAGAGUUUUGCAUUUUCUCUUGUUUAGGUUUUUGCAAGUACUCAGACUCAUUGCAUACACAACCGUCAUAUCCUUCCUAUGAUUGUAACCAUUAUUCACUUUGGAAUCUGAUUUUUUAUGUCAGUAUUGGUUAUAAUAUAAACACCUUUUGUGCUUGUGAACUGAUUUGAUCAACUACGUGAAUUGCCACAAGCAAUAUCUCUAGUUUUUCUUUUUCUCAAAUAUUCUGCAAGUUCUCCAUAUCAUUGAUGGCCAAUGUGCUAAAUUAAAGGCUCGUGUGACUCAGUAACAAUAUCGCUAUUACUUUGACCUGCCUUUGAGGUUUAUAAAAACCUGAAGCAUGAUAUUACUUAACAGAGCAUGUGUUAAUGUCAUUACUUAAAUAGUACUAGAGAACACAUCAUAUAGACUUUCACCAUGAAUUGCGGUUAUCUAUUAUGUGUUUUCAUUGUUUUGCCAGUAUUCUUAUAUCGUGUCUGUUUCAGGCUGUUGCUAUGAAAUCUAUGUCAGAGCAGUAAUGCGGGAGGAGGCUCGAAAAAAAGCAGGGGAAAGUGCAUAAGUAUUCAAUUCUUCGAUGUUUCAUUUUAUUGCUGAGAACAACGUUAGGCCUUCGUUUUUUUAAUCUGUGUGUUGAAUAAGCAGAACAACCAGUUUUGUUGUAAUCAAAUGGUUGUUCUCGAAAGUUGCUAUUACCAUGUUUUCUAAUUUAUGCUUGAUAAAUGUUAUGACAUAAUGUAUGCACAUAUAAAGAACAAUAUUCUAUUGGCAGGGCCACAUGUAUCGGAUGUACUUGAGAAUUUUUCUUGGCAUAUUUGCACUCAUAACGUUAUUAAAGAAAAUUUUCAUGGCAUCUUAAAAUUAAAAAAAAAAAUGCGUAAGUUUAUACAAAAAGUGCCAAUCAAUAAAUAGUUUGAAUCUUUUAAAUUAAUUUAAAUUUAAGGUGGAGAUUUUUUAGUGAAAAAAUAUAAGCGAGUAGUAAUUACAAAUUUUAUACAUUUAUAUAUUUAUCAUUAACGUUCAAUUAUUAACUAUAAAAUAGUGAUUUUAGAAGAAAUUUGAGGUUUAUGAAUAUAAGUUGGUGUGUUUAUAGUUUGUGCUAUUUUUAUUAAUAUUAUAAGAUUAUCUUGAUUGUGUUUUUUGGGAUGUUUUUAAAUUUAAAGUGACAUAAUUGUUUUUAAAAAAUUAAGACAAACCUAUAAAAUUCUGCUCCAAAUUAUCUUGAAUUAAAAUUGAUUAAACUAGUCGAACACCCAAUUAAUUUUGAUUCAUUUCCUUUCUCAAUCAUGAACCAUUGAUUUGAUGAUGAUCAAACCAAACUCUGACUAGGUAUGCACUAGAAAAUUUUUGAGCCAACAUUUUCCAUGGCCAUGUUUGUACAUUUAUUUCACAAAGCAUGCUCUAAGGCCUAUAAAUAGAUACCCAAAUCACAGAGUGAAUCCAAAAUAACUAAAAGCAAAGGUGAUGGCCAAUCCAAGAUGUCAUGUCAUUGUUAUCCCUUACCCUGCUCAAGGUCACAUUAACCCCCUCCUUCAGUUCGCUAAACGCUUGGCUUCCAAAGGAGUCAAGGCCACUCUCGCCACCACCCCUUACACAAUAAACUCGAUCCAUGCCCCCACAGUAGGUGUUGAGCCCAUCUCUGAUGGCUUUGAUGAAGGCGGCUUCAAGCAAUCCUCAGGUGUAGAGGCAUACCUAGAAUCAUUCAAAGCUGUUGGUUCAAGAACUCUUACUGAGCUUAUCUUGAAAUUCAACGCCUCGGACUCCCCUGUUAGGUGUAUUGUGUACGAUUCAUUGCUGACUUGGCCUGUUGAUGUAGCUAGACAACUUGGGAUUCAUGCUGCUGUAUUUUUUACCAAUUCAGCUUCUGUUUGCUCCAUGUAUUGGCAAAUUGAUCGGGGUCUCACUCUUCCUGUGGAACAAGAAACUGUGCCAGUGUCUUUGCCGGGCCUUCCUUCACUAGGCUUCCAUGAAUUUCCGAGUUUUCUGGCAUCCCCAACAACUCACUCUGCUUAUUUAGCAGCAAUCUUGGAGAAAUUUCACAGUUUGGACAAAAAUGAUUGGGUAGGUCUGCAGCUCCUUCGAAGAGCUAGAGAUUCAGGUAACUGAACUUUGGGAUAUUUUUUGACUGUAUGCAAUUCUUGUUAUUUUAAUUUAUAUUUUUUGGGAUUGAUGAUAAUUUAAUAAUUAGAUUUCCAGAGGAUACAAUGUAAUUUAAUGGAUAAUUAGAUUGCUAAUGUGUUCACUGCUUUGACUGGUGAAAAAUGAAAAGCUAGUAGGAGCCACGAGAGGACUGUGGCCAGUGGUGAUGGUAGGUCCAAUGGUGCCAUCUGCCUACUUAGACCAACAAAUUGAUGGAGAUACAGCUUAUGGGGCCAGUCUCUGGGAACCAACAACUGACCAGUGCUUGAGAUAGCUAGACACGAAGCCACCAGACUCAGUAAUAUACGUGUCAUUUGGAAGCAUGGCAGGCAUUUCAGCUAACACAGGUUGAAGAAAUGGCAUGGGGUUUGGAAGCAAGCAAAAGGCCUUUCCUAUGGGUUAUCAAGGAUUCAGAAAAUAAGCUACAAGAUGAUUUUAUAAGCUCAAUAGGCGAGACAGGGAUAGUCGUGGCAUGGUGCAACUAACUAGAGGUCCUAGCUCACCAAGCGGUGGGCUACUUUGUUACACACUGUGGAUGGAAUUCUACAGUGGAGGGGCUGAGCCUAGGCGUGCCAAUGGUAUGCGCGACACAGUGGAGCGACCAGCCAACAAACGCCAAGUUUGUAGAGGAAGUGUGGAAGGUGGGAGUAAGAGCUGAGAAAGAUGAAGAGGGGAUAGUAGGGAGA
rnacentral:lncRNA from 1 species